CAUUACCAACACAAAAUAUCUUUCCAUUUUAUUCUAAACAGGCCAAAAUCUUCAUCAGAGCAAAACCCUGGCCAACUCCCACCGGUUUCAACUCUCCUCCACCGCUAUGGCCACUAUCACGCCGCCUAAUUUCAUGACGGCCGAACUAAUCAACACCACAACCAUCGCAACCCCAAUAUCACUCCGGUGGCUGACAGUGAUUCUGGAAUUAGAGCUCACAAUGGGCUAUUUGAGAGAGAUCGCAGACUCAGAGGAACGGCGGAGAGCACAAGAAGGGUAUGCGGUAAUCCGUUAUCGUAACGCGACUCUGGA
rnacentral:lncRNA from 1 species